GACGAACGCUGGCGGCGUGCUUAACACAUGCAAGUCGAACGGAAAGGCCCUGCUUUUGUGGGGUGCUCGAGUGGCGAACGGGUGAGUAACACGUGAGUAACCUGCCCUUGACUUUGGGAUAACUUCAGGAAGCUGGGGCUAAUACCGGAUAGGAGCUCCUGCUGCAUGGUGGGGGUUGGAAAGUUUCGGCGGUUGGGGAUGGACUCGCGGCUUAUCAGCUUGUUGGUGGGGUAGUGGCUUACCAAGGCUUUGACGGGUAGCCGGCCUGAGAGGGUGACCGGCCACAUUGGGACUGAGAUACGGCCCAGACUCCUACGGGAGGCAGCAGUGGGGAAUAUUGCACAAUGGGCGGAAGUCUGAUGCAGCAACGCCGCGUGCGGGAUGACGGCCUUCGGGUUGUAAACCGCUUUCGCCUGUGACGAAGCGUGAGUGACGGUAAUGGGUAAAGAAGCACCGGCUAACUACGUG
rnacentral:rRNA from 1 species